rfam:Triticum urartu cultivar G1812 contig199115, whole genome shotgun sequence.
AUCAUACUCCCUCCGUCCGGAAAUAUUUGUCAUCAAAAUGGAUAAAAAAGAGUGUAUCUAGAACUAAAAUACAUCUAGAUACAUCCCCCUUUAUUCAUCUUGAUGAUAAGUAUUCCCGGACGGAGGGAGUAUUAC